rnacentral:rRNA from 1 species
CGCCAGACUCCUACGGGAGGCAGCAGUGGGGAAUAUUGCACAAUGGGGGAAACCCUGAUGCAGCGACGCCGCGUGAGUGAAGAAGUAUUUCGGUAUGUAAAGCUCUAUCAGCAGGGAAGAAAAUGACGGUACCUGAUUAAGAAGCCCCGGCUAACUACGUGCCAGCAGCCGCGGUAAUACGUAGGGGGCAAGCGUUAUCCGGAUUUACUGGGAGUAAAGGGAGCGUAGACGGUGAUGCAAGUCAGAAGUGAAAGCCCGGGGCUCAACUCCGGGACUGCUUUUGAAACUGUGUAACUGGAGUGCAGGAGAGGUAAGCGGAAUUCCUGGUGUAGCGGUGAAAUGCGUAGAUAUCAGGAGGAACACCAGUGGCGAAGGCGGCUUACUGGACUGUAACUGACGUUGAGGCUCGAAAGCGUGGGGAGCAAACAGGAUUAGAUACCCCGGUACAG